rnacentral:rRNA from 1 species
UGGCUCAUUAUAUAAGUUAUCGUUUAUUUGAUAGUACCUUACUACUUGGAUAACCGUGGUAAUUCUAGAGCUAAUACAUGCUGAAAAUCCCGACUUCGGAAGGGAGGUAUUUAUUAGAUUAAAAACCAAUGCCCUCUGGGCUCCUUGGUGAUUCAUAAUAACUUUUCGAAUCGCACGGCCUUGCGCCGGCGAUGGUUCAUUCAAAUUUCUUCCCUAUCAACUUUCGAUGUUUGGGUAUUGGCCAAACAUGGUCGCAACGGGUAACGGAGGGUUAGGGCUCGACCCCGGAGAAGGAGCCUGAGAAACGGCUACUACAUCCAAGGAAGGCAGCAGGCGCGCAAAUUACCCAAUCCCGAUUCGGGGAGGUAGUGACAAUAAAUACUGAUACAGGGCUCUUUUGGGUCUUGUAAUUGGAAUGAGUACAAUUUAAAUCUCUUAACGAGGAACAAUUGGAGGGCAAGUCUGGUGCCAGCAGCCGCGGUAAUUCCAGCUCCAAUAGCGUAUAUUAAAGUUGUUGUGGUUAAAAAGCUCGUAGUUGAACCUUGGGCCUGGCUGGCCGGUCCGCCUCACCGCGUGUACUGGUCCGGCCGGGCCUUUCCCUCUGUGGAACCUCAUGCCCUUCACUGGGUGUGGCGGGGAAACAGGACUUUUACUUUGAAAAAAUUAGAGUGCUCCAGGCAGGCCUAUGCUCGAAUACAUUAGCAUGGAAUAAUAAAAUAGGACGCGUGGUUCUAUUUUGUUGGUUUCUAGGACCGCCGUAAUGAUUAAUAGGGACAGUCGGGGGCAUCAGUAUUCAAUUGUCAGAGGUGAAAUUCUUAGAUUUAUUGAAGACUAACUACUGCGAAAGCAUUUGCCAAGGAUGUUUUCAUUAAUCAAGAACGAAAGUUAGGGGAUCGAAGACGAUCAGAUAACGUCGUAGUCUAACCCAUAAACUAUGCCGACUAGGGAUCGGACGAUGUUAUUUUUNNGACGCGUUCGGCACCUUACGAGNAAUCAAAGGGCUUGG